rnacentral:rRNA from 1 species
ACUACGGGAGGCAGCAGUGAGGAAUAUUGGUCAAUGGGCGGAAGCCUGAACCAGCCAAGUAGCGUGCAGGAUGACGGCCCUACGGGUUGUAAACUGCUUUUAUACGGGAAUAACGCGCCUUACGUGUAGGGCUUUGCAUGUACCGUAUGAAUAAGGACCGGCUAAUUCCGUGCCAGCAGCCGCGGUAAUACGGAAGGUCCGGGCGUUAUCCGGAUUUAUUGGGUUUAAAGGGAGCGUAGGCCGCAUGUCAAGCGUGCUGUGAAAUGUCCGGGCUCAACCCGGGCCUUGCAGCGCGAACUGGUGUGCCUGAGUCCGCGGAAAGCAGGCGGAAUUCGUCGUGUAGCGGUGAAAUGCUUAGAUAUGACGAAGAACCCCGAUUGCGAAGGCAGCUUGCUGCAGCGGAACUGACGCUGAUGCUCGAAAGCGCGGGUAUCGAACAGGAUUAGAUACCCCUGUAGUC